AGCCCGGGGCGGCGGCGCUGCUCAACCUCGGCGGCAGCAGCGGCGGCGCUGGAAGGUGCUGGUCUCAAGCCCAUGCCCGUCCAUGCAGGCCCGUGUAGCAGAUGGGGCGCCACCACCGCCGCAGCAAGCAGCACGCCGCGGGCGCAGCCAGUCGGCGGCGGCAACAACGGGGCGCAAGGGCAUCGUGGCGGCCGGAGGCGGCGGGCAGGGAAAGAGGGGCGGAAGAGAAGACACAAAGACCGUGAGCGACUGCUGAGACGAGUCCCGAGCGCGCCGGCACCCCGGCCCCAGCCAGCGUGGGCUCGGCGGGCGUGGACCUCCAAGCGGCUCGCCCAGCCCUAGUUAGCGGCAGCCACCGGCGGCCCGGAUAUCUCUGCGCGGCAGCCCCAGCGGUCAAUCAAUCUCAGUCCCGCACUGCCGUCCCGCCCCGCCCUGUGCCCGCCAAUCUGCGACGCCAUCAUCCCCCGCCGCGUCCCUCCCUUCCUCCCCAUUGGUUGUGACCGCACGUCCGCCCGACUCAGCCUGCCAAUCGCAGGACGCAGAGGGCCCUCUCCCCCGCCUGCUCAGUGUAAUUCGAGUUCCGUGUCCAUCGAGACUGCAAGUCCUCUCCUGUGCCGCAACCUUCCUCGCACUCCCUUUCCUCUCCCCUCUACCACCUUCCGCGAUUUACUGUUUCCUUGCGCCCAGUAGAAAUGGGCGACCGCAACUCUCACUCCGGCCGGCGUUAUAAAGGUACCAGCCUUUGACCUCUGCUUGAAUUAAUGUGAUCCGAUUCAUCUUCCCUCCAAGUUUUUUUUUUUUUUUUUUAAUUUAAUUACCCUUCCCCGCCCUGGCCCGGCCAACUUCAGCUCCACCUCCUUGAAGGAAGCUGGCGCUUUUACGGAGCGCCGCGCGGCAGGUCCCCUUUUAGCCAAUCACAUCUGCGGAACAGCGUUCCGAACCGUUUGCGGGUGUCUGGUAAAGCAAGCUCGGGGCAGUGUUGGAAAUCUGAAUGUCACCCGCGGUCCUGAGCAGAUAGAAUGGGCUGGGAAGGUACCCGUGAACUCCCGGCGGAAUUCGCUGGCAGCUGUGCGAGGCUCAGGUGUUCUAGUUUCUUUGACAUUUCCCUUCCUGAAAGCGGCAAGGAGAGGUCUAAGAGUGGGCAAACUUCAACGUUCGGUUACAGUGUAAUUAAUGAGAGUGGUGGGUUUUUAUGCAGUGUAAUUAUGCCACGAUUUGUUGUUGCUCAGUGACUUUUUCACAGAUUUCUACAGAUUAUUUCAAUUUUCCGCAAAUUUCUACAGAUUAAUUCAAUGGCAGCUCACUUCCUCCUUUUAUGAUUGGAUAGGUCCGAAAGUGAGGAAAAAGCCAAUUGUCUGCAAAGAAAGAGGCUGCCAAGUGGAGACAGAAAAGCAGUUAUGAGACUGGUGAUAGAUUCCAAUUUGUUAUCAGUAGGUGUGAAGUGGUAUCUAAUCCCAAGAAUGACCUCAAGGCUGAGAGACACUUGAUACUGCCCUUGCCUUUGCCUUUCCCCAAACAGCACAGGACCGCCAUUUAAAAUCCACUAACAUCCAAAUCGUAGUUGGCAACUCUACACGCUACAUUACUCAGAAUCUCUAAUUAGGAAUUUCGUAUCAACCACGGACAUGCUGAUAUUCCACACAUGUUUAAAUGUGCUAAUCAAUGGACUAAGAUAAUUGAGGGGCAAACCUUCGGUCUCACCAGCUCACUUCAUUAUAGACACAUUGUGAAUUGCCCAAACCACUAUGUCCCCAACGAAGGAUGCCUAUCUGUUUUUACUGUAACUUUUCAUUAGUUACUUAUUACAUACUAUGAUGACUUACGGGGUAAACACACCUUUCACUACCCACGAUAUAAUCCAAGCCUGUGUAUAUCCAUAAUAUGCUUAAUAAUAGCUUCACAGUUGCCUGGAGAAAUGACUUUUGGGGAGGAAGGUAUAUGACAUUUUUAGAUAAUGCUGUGGAUUAAAUAUUAUUAGAGCAAAAAUUUACUAUCUUGCAAUUACUUCAUAUAACUAAUGAGGUACAGUUCAUGACAUACUAAGAAGCAUCUUAAAGUAAUCAAAUACUGAUUUUCAAAGUAUUUGGCUAACAAGGACUAAAAUUUUUUUUCUCUUAAUCCAAGAUUUAAUUCGACCCCUAUACAAGAAACACCUCACUUUAUUGAUCAUACUUCAAAACAUAUACUCAAUAGUUAAGGAUCAAUAAUUUCUGUUUGGUUUGGGUCUUUCCACUCGUGACUUUAUCAUGUUUUUACUCCCCUCCCCCCAUAUCCUGUUCCUUAAGUACACGGGUGCUCUAGAUUUUCCUAUCAAUAGAGGGCGUCCUCGAGUCAUUGUAUACCCUGGUGUCGUUAAACGGAACUGUUCUUCAGAGGAAAAACUUCAUCUCUAAGGCGCUUUAUUGCUCCUCUGUUGUAAAAUUUGACAAGCUCGAGAUUUAUAAGCCUAACAAUUCACUUUCUAUUGCUGCAUAAGUGUUCACCCGCUAAAGGAAAAUGCUAAUUUUCACAAUUAAACCGCAAGGUGGUUCCUAUUUUCAAGACAUAGGUCAGUUGACACACUCGCGGGUAAAUUCGUACUGUUCGCAAGAGCAGGAAUCAGCUUGGAAAGCAAGAGUGUAGUGAAUAGUAGCUUAUAGCGCAGCCACUCCUCAAUCCCGUGAGCUGCAAGUUACAAAGGAUUUUAGAUUCUACAAAGAAAAAUCGGGGAGGGAGGUAGAAAACAAACAUAAAAUCGGUGACUUAUACAAGUUUUAUGUUUUAAUCAGAAAAAAAUCAUGAAGUGACUGAUGAGUGGUGCAACUCACACAUCCACCCUGUUUCUUGCCACUGGUACUCCUUCUCCCUUCCUCUUUGUUUUCAGGAAGGAAGGAGGAGACCUGAACAGUACAUCCAGAGAAUCCAGCAAAGCAUACCACGGUAUGAACGUGCAAGUGCACAGAAUUAAAACACAUGUCAGAAACACUAA